rnacentral:ncRNA from 19 species
AAUAGUUUUAUUAGAGGAACUCAUAUAAUCCCGUGAAUAUGGCACGGGAGUUUCUACAAAGCAGCCGUAAACUGCUUUACUAUGGGUGGAAUUUGUUGUUGC